rfam:Wickerhamomyces ciferrii, NRRL Y-1031 F-60-10, WGS project CAIF01000000 data, contig: 00168
UAAUAUGACGAUAAAAACGCUGUGCACCAGUCUGACCCUGAAACAAGUACUCUCAGGAAAUGAAGCAUUGAGUAUACCCAAAUUUCUGAUC